AUAGUUUGAUCAUGGCUCAAAUUGAACGCUGGCGGCAGGCCUAACACAUUCAAGUCGAACGGUAACAGGGAUUAGCUUGCUAAUCGCUGACGAGUGGCGGACGGGUGAGUAAUGCUUGGGAACUUGCCUUUGCGAGGGGGAUAACAGUUGGAAACGACUGCUAGUACCGCCUAAUGUCUACGGACCAAACGGGGCUUAUGCUCCGGCGCAGAGAGAGGCCCAAGUGAGAUUAGCUGGUUGGUACGGUAACGGCUUACCAAGGCGACCAUCUCUAGCUGUUCUGAGAGGAAUAUCAGCCACACUGGGACUGGAGACACGGCCCAUACUCCUACCGGAGGCAGCAGUGGGGAAUUUUGCACAAUGGGGGAAACCCUGAUGCA
rnacentral:rRNA from 1 species